UACGUAGGGGGCAAGCGUUAUCCGGAUUUACUGGGUGUAAAGGGAGCGUAGACGGAAUUGCAAGUCUGAUGUGAAAAUCCGGGGCCCAACCCCGGGACUGCAUUGGAAACUGGCAUGCUAGAGUGCCGGAGGGGCAAGCGGAAUUCCUAGUGUAGCGGUGAAAUGCGUAGAUAUUAGGAGGAACACCGGUGGCGAAGGCGGCUUGCUGGACGGUAACUGACGUUGAGGCUCGAAAGCGUGGGGAGCAAACAGG
rnacentral:rRNA from 1 species